GGUGGGAAAUUGUAGGCUGUCUCUGGGUGGACCAAACGGAAAAACUCCAGUUUAUCAAUGUGGAGGUUGCAGAUAGACUUCAUUGUGGGCAGCUUGGACAUCAUCUGUGGGGAAGGAGAGGCAAAGGUGUUCGUGUUCAUGAAGGUGUUUGCGGUGCGAGACAGAGAAAUGGUAGAAGAAUAAUCACCCGGGGUUAAAAGGACGGAAGCGCUCAACAGUGCCAUCUCUUCAUCAGACAGCUGUAGGCGACAGAGUCCUUUUCCAAGGUCAAACACUGCACUGACCAGGUCAUCACAACCUACACAAACACAGAAUAUUGUUAAAAUAAUAGUCAAAAAAUAAAUAGAUAGACAGCCUGAAGACUUCAAUAGUUCUGCUAAAUUAGACAACUGAUGUAGGAGAUAUCAGUAUGAGGACUAAUUGUUUUUCUUACUGCCAUCAAUGUUUAACAAGAGACAAAUGUUUUUAAAAGUUAGCUCCCAAAGACAAACCAAUGUACUGACUGAUAUUUUCCAUAAUUUAAUUAGUCAACUUCUAAAAAUUGAGUUUAAUUUUAUUUGCAUUUCCAAAGUCUAAUGUGUUUAUGUGUACUUCAUUUUACAUUGGUCACUUUUUUGUUCCUCUGUUUUAUCAUUUUUUUUAUCUCUCUGUGUAAUCUAAUAUUUUCAUAAAAGCCCUUCUAGGGAACAUGUAUUGCAAAUUAGCAUCAGCUAUAAACAGUGUGAAGCUUGCAUCGGACAGCUGUUCUCAGUUAGUCUAUGAAUACUUUAUCUGUCCCCAUCAAAUAAACCAUAAGUAAAUAAAUAAUACUGUUUGUUUUCACUUCCUCCGUUAGGGGCGUAUAUGUUGGUUUGUAGCUGGUGGAAGAAGAGACUCAAGACAUCUCUUUGGAAAUGUAAAGGAACAUUUAGCUGGAGACGUUCGGUUAUGUCUCCUCAAAGAGUCGGUUUUAGCUUUAACAAACUGCUGUUUGAAUGACACUGAAAAGACUGUCAAAAAAUAGAAAGAAUUUUAAGAAGAAUUACCACAGUUAUGUUAUUGUGAUAUUUCAAAAAUUACGAGUUGUGUUCGUCAGUGCAGAGGCAUCUCUUUUUAAGCUGUUAAUAAUGGAUUGAGAACAGUGAGAGCCUGGCAUUUUCGUACACAGCUUGGACUGUAUAGAUAGUAAUUGGUGCACAGUGCGUGUGGAAAAAAAGGACACGAUUUUCCAGCUUUCAAAAGGCGUAAGAAUAAGAUGCUUAAAUAAAAUGUAAAUUAUCUGAGUUUAUUAGCACAGCUAGAUUCCAAUCUGUUCCUCACCAAGUGCUUUGAAGAACUGAGCCGGUGCAAACUUUCCGUUGAAGAAUAUGGUGCUGUUGUUGACGUUGAACGCUCGGCACAUACGUAUCAGCAGGACCUCCAGACAGCCUGAAAGGUCAGCCACAGGUAGAAGCAAAGACAUGUAGAGAGAGAUGGAGAGAUGGAGAAGGAAGAAGAAGAAGGACGAGGGAGGAGGGAGGGACAGAGAAGGUCCAAGAUACUCCAACAUGAACAAAACAGACAACAAAAUGUGAAUAAUUUUGACCCAGAUUGGCGCACAGCAUAUACAAUAAAUUUUUUCAUCCAUUUAAAAUUAUCAGGAUUAAAAAAAAAAAAAAAAACAGUUCAACACAUUUACAGAGUUAAAAAAAAAGUAAAAUAUGUGUAUUUUAUGUGACAUAUAUAGGUGUU